rnacentral:rRNA from 1 species
AUGAGUCUUCGCUUAAAAGAGGCUGGGGUUAUGCUCUCCAGUUUCGCCCAAGGAUGGGGCCGCGACCGAUCAGGUUGUUGGUGAGGUAAUGGCUCACCAAGCCUUUUACCGGUGCGGGCCGUGGGAGCGGGAGCCCGGAGAUGGGCACUGAGACAAGGGCCCAGGCCCUACGGGGCGCAGCAGUCGCGAAAACUUUGCAAUAAGCGAAAGCUUGACAGGGCUAUCCCGAGUGCCAUCCGCUGAGGAAGGCUUUUACCCAGUCUAGAACGCUGGGGGAAUAAGGAGAGGGCAAGUCUGGUGUCAGCCGCCGCGGUAAUACCAGCUCUCCGAGUGGUGUGGAUGUUUAUUGGGCCUAAAGCAUCCGUAGCUGGCCAGGUUAGUCCCCUGUUAAAUCCACCGAAUUAAUCGUUGGAUUGCGGGGGAUACUGCUUGGCUAGGGGACGAGAGAGGCAGACGGUAUUUCCGGGGUAGGGGUGAAAUCCUAUAAUCCCGGGAAGACCACCAGUGGCGAAGGCUGUCUGCUAGAACGCGCCCGACGGUGAGGGAUGAAAGCUGGGGGAGCGAACCGGAUUAGAUACCCGGGUAGUCCCAGCUGUAAACGAUGCAGACUAGGUGUUUGGACGGCCACGUGCCGUUCUAGUGCCGCAGGGAAGCUGUUA